GGAGACCGGGGGAAGAAAUGAGACAGGGAUAUGGCAACUGGUGCAUCUAGGACUAAGAGGUGAUGGAGGAUGAGUGUACAGAACUGUGAAAGGUAUGAAAAGGUAGGACGUUUGAUUGGUAAGGAAAGAAAACGAAAACUUGCGCGCUUGGCCGUUCAUUUGUCAUCACGCUUCUCGCAAAAUGUCGACAUUGAUUAAAAAAAAAAAAAAAGAAAGAAAACUAUUUGAAGAAAGCAAAAAAAAAAAGAAAAAAAUAUUAAUAUCAAAAAGAAAAAAAAUAGAAUAAUGGCUUAAGUCAUCCAUUCAUUGCUCUUCGCCUUAUAAAAUGUCGACAUCGAUAGAGGAAAAGCAAAACAACUCACAAAUCAUUAAUACUAUUAUGAGUAUCAUAAGAAAAUUAUAAUGGUUAAAUACCAUUAUAACGAAAUAUAACAAUAAGGUAGAAAUAAGACAACACUAACUCUUACGCAAAUGAAAACUCAUUUAUUUUCCUCAGAAUGUCUAUAAGAUGAGAAGAGUAGUCGAGUGUAGUGUGUCACUGUGCUUAGUGCCGGAUUUUGAUGGAUACCGGGGAAAUAUUGGCCUAUCGACAGCUGAACGGAGACUGUGUGGUGCGGGAAGCGUGUGAAAGACUCCGACAGUGAGACAUAAGUGUGGAUAACCAGCACCAUCACCACCACCUAGCGCCGGCCCUUCCCUCGCUCAGACUCGGCGAUCGGUGAUUCGCAUGCGCCGUCACCUCCACGCCGCCUUUUAAAAGUAACGCGUCCUUGGUCCCAAUGUGCACCGCGCCUGUAAUCCGCUGGGACUUCUGGCGAGGAGCAACGGGUAAUCUGACUCAUCGUGACCAGCAGGUGGGCUACACACGUCUCACUCAGCACGCCAGGCACGCCCACUCAUCACUUGCUUCGCGCAUCACGUGACUGACGCCCGCGAGGCAUGUGCACACGACGGAUUCCCAGCAUCCCUGCCUGGCCGAAAGUAUCACAGACCUGCGCCCUGACACUGCAGCUCCCUGACGCCGCCGGCACCUAAGCAGAAGCUAAGUGCAUCCUAAUCUGUGCUGCAAAAUAUGCAUGAAUUGAGCAGGUAUAUUUAGUGGUAGUUCUCUCAAUUAUAAUAUACGAAGGAAAACUGCGGGACGUAAGCAAGGAGUUUCUAUCAUGUACCGCAUGGCUGCAUAAGGCGGUGACAGCUAGACAGCCCGCUCUCUUAAAAUACUGAAAUGCAAUGUAUUAAAGUUAGAAAUUUGAAGUCUGACAUAUCGUGUCGUAGAACAUGAAAGAAAUUGCACAGCAAUUAUAAGUGUUUUAUUGCCAGGCAUUUGUCACGACGGCCUUCCUCUUUCCUGCCUGGCCGAAAGUAUCACAGUAGCCGAGUAGAUCCUCGACGCCGCCACCUGAGCGGAGGCUGUAAAAGUUCAUCCCAAUCUAAUCUGCGAGAUGUGCAUAAACUAACCAGGUAUGUGCCAGGGACAGCCUUCAUUCUGCCAGGUCGCACCACUGCCCUCUGAUGCCGCCGCCAGCUAGGCAGAGGCUGCCAUUAUAAGUGCAUUACCAGUCUGUGCUGCCAACUGACCAUAAACUGAACAGUCUCUUCCAAGACUUGCUGUGGUUCCUUAAUGCAGAGAUUAAACAGGUUAUCUGCCUCAGUCUUCAUCCUCUCCAAGAAGCUACAACCUUUUGCUGCACUCCAUAAACUCCCUGUUGAGAAGGUUGUCAAAUCAAU